rnacentral:rRNA from 1 species
GGGCCCGCACAAGCGGUGGAGCAUGUGGUUUAAUUCGACGCAACGCGAAGAACCUUACCUGGUCUUGACAUCCUACGAACUUUCCAGAAAUGGAUUGGUGCCUUCGGGAACCGGGUGACAGGUGCUGCAUGGCUGUCGUCAGCUCGUGUCGUGAGAUGUUGGGUUAAGUCCCGUAACGAGCGCAACCCUUGUCCUUAGUUGCCAGCACGUAAUGGUGGGAACUCAUGGGAUACUGCCGGGGUCAACUCGGAGGAAGGUGGGGAUGACGUCAAAUCAUCAUGCCCCUUAUGUCUUGGGCUUCACGCAUGCUACAAUGGCCGGUACAGAGGGCUGCAAUACCGCAAGGUGGAGCGAAUCCCAAAAAGCCGGUCUCAGUUCGGAUUGAGGUCUGCAACUCGACCUCAUG